rnacentral:rRNA from 1 species
CUGGGAAACAGGUUAAUAUUCCUGUACUUGGUGUUACUGCGAAGGGGGGACGGAGAAGGCUAUGUUAGCCGGGCGACGGUUGUCCCGGUUUAAGCAUGUAGGCGGAGGUUCCAGGUAAAUCCGGUACCUUUUAACGCUGAGGUGUGAUGACGAGGCACUACGGUGCUGAAGUAACAAAUGCCCUGCUUCCAGGAAAAGCCUCUAAGCAUCAGGUAACAUUAAAUCGUACCCCAAACCGACACAGGUGGUCAGGUAGAGAAUACCAAGGCGCUUGAGAGAACUCGGGUGAAGGAACUAGGCAAAAUGGUGCCGUAACUUCGGGAGAAGGCACGCUGGUGUGUAGGUGAAGUCCCUGCGGACGGAGCUGAGACCAGUCGAAGAUACCAGCUGGCUGCAACUGUUUAUUAAAAACACAGCACUGUGCAAACACGAAAGUGGACGUAUACGGUGUGACGCCUGCCCGGUGCCUGAAGGUUAAUUGAUGGGGUUAUCCGUAAGGAGAAGCUCUUGAUCGAAGCCCCGGUAAACGGCGGCCGUAACUAUAACGGUCCUAAGGUAGCGAAAUUCCUUGUCGGGUAAGUUCCGACCUGCACGAAUGGCGUAAUGAUGGCUAGGCUGUCUCCACCCGAGACUCAGUGAAAUUGAACUCGCUGUGAAGAUGCAGUGUACCCGCGGCAAGACGGAAAGACCCCGUGAACCUUUACUAUAGCUUGACACUGAACAUUGAGCCUUGAUGUGUAGGAUAGGUGGGAGGCUUUGAAGCGUGGACGCCAGUCUGCGUGGAGCCAACCUUGAAAUACCACCCUUUAAUGUUUGAUGUUCUAACGUAGGCCCCUGACCGGGGUUGCGGACAGUGUCUGGUGGGUAGUUUGACUGGGGCGGUCUCCUCCCAAAGAGUAACGGAGGAGCACGAAGGUUAGCUAAUCCUGGUCGGACAUCAGGAGGUUAGUGCAAUGGCAUAAGCUAGCUUGACUGCGAGCGUGACGGCGCGAGCAGGUGCGAAAGCAGGUCAUAGUGAUCCGGUGGUUCUGAAUGGAAUGGCCAUCGCUCAACGGAUAAAAGGUACUCCGGGGAUAACAGGCUGAUACCGCCCAAGAGUUCAUAUCGACGGCGGUGUUUGGCACCUCGAUGUCGGCUCAUCACAUCCUGGGGCUGAAGUAGGUCCCAAGGGUAUGGCUGUUCGCCAUUUAAAGUGGUACGCGAGCUGGGUUUAGAACGUCGUGAGACAGUUCGGUCCCUAUCUGCCGUGGGCGCUGGAGAAUUGAGGGGGGCUGCUCCUAGUACGAGAGGACCGGAGUGGACGCAUCACUGGUGUUCGGGUUGUCAUGCCAAUGGCACUGCCCGGUAGCUAAAUGCGGAAGAGAUAAGUGCUGAAAGCAUCUAAGCACGAAACUUGCCCCGAGAUGAGUUCUCCCUGAGACUAUAAGUCUCCUGAAGGAACGUUGAAGACGACGACGUUGAUAGGCCGGGUGUGUAAGCGCAGCGAUGCGUUGAGCUAACCGGUACUAAUGAACCGUGAGGCUUAACCUU